rnacentral:tRNA from 4 species
GCGGAUGUAGCCAAGUGGAUCAAGG